GAUUGCGAUCAUACCAGCACUAAUGCACCGAAUCCCAUCAGAACUCCGCAGUUAAGCGUGCUUGGGCGAGAGUAGUACUAGGAUGGGUGACCCCCUGGAAGUCCUCGUGUUGCAACCCC
rnacentral:rRNA from 1 species